AAAGGGAAAUACUAGGGGUUCAAGCUCAGAGUUCGUGUUGUUACCUUCGUAACUGUUGUUCAAUCUAAUAAUCAGGGGGUAUUUCUUUUGGGCACUGUUCUUGUUGGGAUUCAUUGGCUCAUAUAUUUUUUUCUUUUUAUUGCUCUUUUGAGCAUGCUUUUUGCCAACCUUAAUACUUCUAGAUAAAUGCUUCAUGAUAAUUCUCAUAAUUUUUUUCUUCAUUUCUCUCUUUUUUUUCUUUGAAUUUUCUCAUCUUUCUGCACUUAUCUAUUUUUUAUCGGUGUCCCUAAAUUUUGAUGCAACCCCAAACUUAGGCUUUUCCACAGAUCCGGGGUAAACAACACUUAUCUAAGAAAGGUGUGGUAGUGUAUUGGCUUAUGGUUAUAUACAAUGGUUAAAUAACAAACAAAAGGAAAUAUGGCUCAAAUUGGGUGAACGAAAGGUAAUAAUGGCGGGUUGGCUGGAAAGGCUCAAGGUUAAAAUAAAAACAAUGCCUCAGUGUGUACAAGUGUGUUAUGAAAUUCCAGUAUCUCUUAUGCAAACCCAUAGAGACAAAGAUAUACCUGGAAAGCUUUCAAGGGUUGGCUGGAAAGGCUCAAGGUUAAAAUAAAAACAAUGCCUCAGUGUGUACAAGUGUGUUAUGAAAUUCCAGUAUCUCUUAUGCAAACCCAUAGAGACAAAGAUAUACCUGGAAAGCUUUCAUGAUGACAAAUGUUUGACUUUUUG
rnacentral:lncRNA from 1 species